rnacentral:tRNA from 1 species
GGGCAUAUAGCUCAAGUGGUAGAGCACAUGCUUAGCAUGCCUGAGGUCCUGGGUUCAAUCCCCAGUACCUCCU